GAUGAACGCUGGCGGCGUGCCUAAUACAUGCAAGUCGCGCGAAUGGAUUAAGAGCUUGCUCUUAUGAAGUUAGCGGCGGACGGGUGAGUAACACGUGGGUAACCUGCCCAUAGACUGGGAUAACUCCGGGAAACCGGGGCUAAUACCGGAUAACAUUUUGAACCGCAUGGUUCGAAAUUGAAAGGCGGCUGCGGCUGUCACUUAUGGAUGGACCCGCGUCGCAUUAGCUAGUUGGUGAGGUAACGGCUCACCAAGGCAACGAUGCGUAGCCGACCUGAGAGGGUGAUCGGCCACACUGGGACUGAGACACGGCCCAGACUCCUACGGGAGGCAGCAGUAGGGAAUCUUCCGCAAUGGACGAAAGUCUGACGGAGCAACGCCGCGUGAGUGAUGAAGGCUUUCGGGUCGUAAAACUCUGUUGUUAGGGAAGAACAAGUGCUAGUUGAAUAAGCUGGCACCUUGACGGUACCUAACCAGAAAGCCACGGCUAACUACGUGCCAGCAGCCGCGGUAA
rnacentral:rRNA from 1 species